UACAGAGGUCCCAAGCGUUGUUCGGAUUCAUUGGGCGUAAAGGGUGCGUAGGCGGCGCGGUAAGUCGGGUGUGAAAUCUCGGGGCUUAACUCCGAAACUGCAUUCGAUACUGCCGUGCUUGAGGACUGGAGAGGAGAGUGGAAUUCCUGGUGUAGCGGUGAAAUGCGCAGAUAUCAGGAGGAACACCGGUGGCGAAGGCGGGUCUCUGGGCCGAUAUUGACGCUGAGGAGCGAAAGCGUGGGGAGCGAACAGG
rnacentral:rRNA from 1 species